CAGUCGCCGCGGUAAUACGAAGGGUGCAAGCGUUAAUCGGAAUUACUGGGCGUAAAGCGUGCGUAGGCGGUUUGUUAAGUCUGCUGUGAAAUCCCCGGGCUCAACCUGGGAAUGGCAGUGAAUACUGGCAAGCUAGAGUGUGUCAGAGGAUGGUGGAAUUCCCGGUGUAGCGGUGAAAUGCGUAGAGAUCGGGAGGAACAUCAGUGGCGAAGGCGGCCAUCUGGGACAACACUGACGCUGAGGCACGAAAGCGUGGGGAGCAAACAGGAUUAGAUACCCCAGUAGUCCCUGUCUCUUAUAC
rnacentral:rRNA from 1 species